AUGUUAACCAUGAAUCAGACAUGUGCGCGCGAGGGAGGGAAGAGUAGAGAAACAUUGAUAUUUUUCAUGCCUUGGACAAACAUUUCUAUUCAUAUUUUUAUUUUCUGUGUAACACAUGAUCGCGGAUCUGAAAAUACUAACUAUGUCCUAUGUUUCUACCUUGACAUAUCUUGUAACUUUUUUGCCUCCUAUUUUGCAUAUGUAGCAAUAGUCAUAGCUUAUGCCCUUGAAUCAAUAUUUGCCACUACUGACAAUUUGCAGAGGCAGUCUGCUAAGAGGAAUAUGGUGGAAAGAGCAGGCGAGUCGAGAGAAAGCAUUUUCUUCUCCCAAGGUAAUUUACACUAUCAUAGUUCUACCGGUUGUGACUUUGUUACAUACACACCUAGACCACCCCACACCGCCACCAUAGUACACGGACGCCACUCACCGGCGGAGGGCAAAAGGCUCCUCUUACCAUAA
rnacentral:rRNA from 1 species